AUCCUUCCGCGUAACACUUGCCGAAGCCUUAGCAGCCUGAAAAGGUGCAGCUCCAACGACUAUAAUUAUAGAGAGCUGUUUAAAUGCUAGUCCGUGCAUAGCGGGCAACACUAUCAAAUUGCGGGAACACCCUAAAGACCUCAACACCAAGCGACUGUGGGAAACCACGGCGUGGCCGAGCUAAUAGCCCUGGGUAUGGUAAUAGCUUGAGGUAUGAUACUCUUCUAAGGAGUUGAAAUGGGCAAUCCGCAGCCAAGUCCUACAGUGCUCAAGUAUGGGUGCCAUGGAUGCUGUUCACAGGCCAAAUGGUAGUGGGUGACUUUUUGGAGUUGCUUAAGAUAUGGUCGGGCUCUUUCAGAAAUGUUAGAGAUGAGUUUACGCUCCCAGACAAUAACCGUUCCGUAGGUGAACCUGCGGAAGGAUCAUUA
rnacentral:misc_RNA from 1 species